GACUCCAGUCUCUGAGCUGUCAGCACAGACCCCGAUGCGGGGCUUGAACCCACGAGCCGCAAGAUCACGACCCGAGCCGAAGCCGGAUGGAUGCUCAGCCGACUGAGCCACCCAGGCGCCACCCCCCGCUCACUCCUUCAGCUACGGUGAUCCUGUAAAAAUGAUGCCCGGCUCAGACUUCUAGAAAGAUAUUCAAGCGUUUCUAGCAGCGUUUCUCGUGCUUCAAGUGCGUAUGAGCCACCUGGGGAAUUAUGCAGAUUUUUAUGAAUUUAUUAUGCAGGAUUAUGAGGUCUGAGUUUCUGCAUUUCUGACACACGUGUAGGUGACGCCAGGGCGCCUGCUUCAGGGACCGCAGUUUGAGUAGCAGGGUUUUAUAUGGCUGCGAGAUGGAAGGUGUUGCUCUGCUGGGAACUUCAGGUGUAGUAACCCAGAAACCCAGAGAUAAAGGUCCAGAGGGAAGGAAGCACGAAACUCUCGACGUUUUCAGUACGCCCGAGGGAAGCCGUGUGAAAGGCUCCCAACCGGAGAAUGAAGAUCACUGAGUUCCAGAAACAUUUAAGAAAGUUUGGGGAUUAUUGGACUCAGAAGCUGGUGGCAGACUGCCUUGUACACAUCAGUCCCCUCUGCUUCUUAGCCAUAGUCACACUGCGUGCUCGCCUUGGAAUGAUGUCCAGGAAGCUCACUAUGUUUCCAGGAUUCACUUUCACGUCUUUAAAGCUGAUCUCUUCCCCUUCGAAGUGUGACAGGCCCGGUCUGGAUGAACGGGGCCCGCCUCCGGGACCACAAGUGCCUGCCCAUGGAGCUUCUAAGGAGGAUCCUGUCACCCUAGUGGACCACACCUCUGACCUCCAGAGACACAGAUGCCUGCCUGAAAGCCAACUUAAUCGUUCAUAACGCUAAGCAGGAUUGCCAUGUAGACCAGAUGUACAAACGUCAUGGCAGCCAUUCUCUUUCUGAAGUCAAGAUGCGAGAGUAUCCGGGAAGCAUCUGGAGCCAUCCGUUUCCAAGGAGAGAGCACCAGGAAUAUAAGCGCCACCAGGGCAAGAAUGUCUGUUUAUUUUCGCUAUAUGAGUAAAUUACAGCGCUGGGAUUGAGAACGAUGUCGCCGCAGUCCAACUACCUCGGCCUGAAUCUCAGUUGAAUCAGCUGGUGGACUUUGGCAUUUCUCCUGUUUUCAUCCAUUUUUUUUUCUACUUGCUGAAGCAGUUGGCUUUGUCAGGGGGGACUAAGUGUCCUGAUCGUUUUAAUUCAUGACAACACACAUGCGCACCCUGGAUGACAUCUCUAGCAAAAGGCACAGACCUCUCUCUUGCCUGAACCAACACUCAAGUUCACGUAUGGUCUAGCUUUCCUUUACCGUAAGUACCAAGAACCAAUGGCUAAUGAAUAAUUUCAUGCAGGCUCCGAGGUGAUACAUAACAAGAGGGAGCGUUUCCACACCUAAGACACUUAGGGUUCUAAAGUGCCAAAGACAGCGGUCGUUAGGAUGAAUAAAGACUUAGACAAGACCACUGAUUGGCCCACCUAGAAAUCAUCGGUGCCCCCAAGAGCUGUUAGUAUAGUGUGAAUAGGACUGAUACUUGACUGCAAAAGAUAACAGUAAUGAAUGAGAAAAAAAAGGCUGUAGGUCAAGCAUCAGCUCAAUAUCUUAGCGGUUGAAAAGAAAAGUCACAGCAACAAGAUGUUCUCCAGUGGGUACAUGGAUUAAACUGCGGUCCAUCAUGACAUCCUAGUGCACUCUCAACACCGAAAAGAAAUGAGCUAUCAAACCAUGAAAAGACGGGGAGGAAAGUUAAAUGCGUAUCACUAAGUACAGAAAGCCAAUCUGAAAAGACUGCAUACUGAGUGAUUCUGAAGAUCUGACAUUCUGGAAAAGGGAAACCUAUGGAGAGACUAAAAAGAUCAGUAGUUCCCAAGGGUUAGAGGGAAGGGAGGAGUGAGUAUGUAGAGCACAGAGGAUUUUUAGGGCAAUGAAAAUACUCUGCCUAAUAUUAUAAUGAUGCCUAUAUUUGUCUAAACCCAUAGAAUCUACACCCCCAAGAGUGAGCCCUAAUGUAAACUAUGGACUCUGGAUGAUCAUGAUGUCUCAGUGUAAGUCCAUCAAUCAUAACAAAUGUACCGCAUGGGUGGGGGAUGCUGAUAAUGGGGGAGGCUGUGGGGAAAGAGGAUAUAUAGGAAAUCUGUGCCUUCUGCCCAAUUUUGCUGCGGACCUAAAAUUGCUCUAAAAUAUGAAGGCUAUUUACGAAGAGAAAGGCAGAGAAGUCAGAAGCUUGAGAAGUCAGUAGGGCUUAAUGAAACGGAUUUUUUCUUUCUGCUUUCACAUUAAAGGAUAGGAAAAGAUGAUAGCAUCCUUGAAGGCAGGGGGCAAGAGGUUAAAGGUAUGCACAAGACAGAGACAGAGAGACAGAGAGAUCCACUUUUCCAAGGGGAAGUGUCCCCCUUUGAAAGAGGAAGAAAGGAAUAUCGAUACCGACUCAGAGAAAGCAACAACCACAGGGCUAUGGUGUAACCUAGAUAGCUACUGUCAAAAGAAGACGACCAGUUUGGGACGAGUGAAAAUUACACAAAAUUCAGUUGCAACGUCCAAAAGUCAAGUUUCACUGGGACACAGACACACUUGUUUGUGUACAUAUUUUCUAUGGCUGAUUUUUGCGAAAUUGGCAGAGCCGAGGACUUGCAGUGGAGGCUGGGUAGCCUGAAAAGCCUACUGAUAUUUAUUAUCUGCCCUUUACAAAAAAAAAAAAAAAAAUUGCUAACCCUUGACCUAGAGCACCCAGUAUUGAGAUGGUGAAAAUCUCAAUCCAAAAGGUCACACCUCGGUUCACUCACAUUUUAUUGGCAAGAACUAACCAUAUGGACCCCCCCCCUCCCCCCAUGCAAGGAGGCUGGGAAAUGGAGCCUCUGGCUGGGUAGGAUCAACUCUACCCUUUCACACUGGGAGACACAAAUCUUUGUUGUUCAGGUCACCACGCCUGAAGCAUGUACUUCUCAGGGUACAGAUUUAAAUGCCCUUUAGGUAUUUCUGCUCUCCAAAAUCCAUUUUCAACUGUGCCACCAGAGAAAGGGUGCGUGCGUGUGUGUGUGUGUGUGUGUGUGUGUGUGUGUGGUAACCGGGUUGGAAGUCUUCCCUUCUGCCUUUCUCCGUAUUUCCUCAUCCUGCCUGGCUCCAGUUGGCUUUCCUCAAGCUGUCACUCUUUCCCCCCUCAGGCCUCUUCUUGCUAUUGUGCUGAGUGACUCAGUUAUGUCUGAGCUCCCAGCGCUAGAUUAUAUACCCGGCCUCAGCAACACCAAAGGCCGGCACUUCUAAACAGAAUCCGCUGGUCUUAGAAGGACGUGGUCAUUAGAAGUCACCAAAAUAUGCCUUCCAGGGAUGUGAAGCAGCCGUCUCUAUGAGAAAGAUGGGCUGCGUGAAAAGCAUUUCCUUUGUGCCCUUAACUUUUAAAGAAAUUCAAGUAAAAUAUCAACACGUUCAACUCAACCACAUACGUACACGGUAUUUUAGGGAGUCUUUUGGUGCCCAAGGGUGGCUUACCAGAGAUUUAAUAUUCCUCCGUCAGCCACCACUUAAAGCUACCUAAAAGUCUAAGCAAAAAUGCAUUGCAAGCCCAGCCCACAGACUCUUACAUUGUCUUGCCUAAGAUUGCAUCCCCCAAACCAUUGCUCGAUAGGCAUUCCGGAGUUCGCACUCUGCUACAAAAUUAGCUAAAACAGUGCCUGCUCUCAAGGGAAUCACAGCCCACUGGCAAGACAGGCUUUUAUACAUCUAUGGAUGAUAGAAGGUAGACUAAAAUCAGGGCUUCAAUUGAGAUCCAAACAAAGUACUCUGAGCAAACACGGGGGGUGGAGUGAUUAAUUGUGGCAGAUGUUAACCAAGAGUAAUGAUUUUAAGUAUCAGGAAUAGAAAGCCUUUCUCCAUCACGCCUGCAAUGCUAAUCCCAAUUCAUUCAUCAUCGAACCUCACCUUGCCUGGCCAUUUAUCUUAAACGCAAACCCAGCUUUAUUCGGGAAAAUCGGUCAUAUUCAUUUAUCCUUUGAUUGCAGACGUUCAGGAAGGAUAGCCGUGGCCUGCCAUAUUUCAUGCUCAUCCACUCACAUGGUAGGCCAGCGUUUUGCCAGGAGACCUCUUAAACUGAGAUGGUUUUUAAUUCAAUCUAAAACCCAGGCUUGGUAGCAGAGCAGCCUCAUAACCCUGUGAUACAGCCUAGGACACACAUGCUUCCUGGUCUCCAGUCCGAUGUCCUAGUGAAGAUAAUAUUGGGUGCCUGCUCUUUGGACGCAUCCCGUGAGUAAAUCUGGAGAUCGCUGGCCUAAGUUCCUUCACCUCAAGAAAGAAAGGCCUACUAAUAUCCCACUAAACGAUGAUGUAAGGCUGGAGGUGAUGCAGGAGGAGAAAGGCAUAGAUCAACAUUUCAUGAAAGAAUGGAAAAUGGAGAAACCAAAUGUCCUUGAGGAACCAACUCAAUUCUCAUUCCUCCAUUGAAGUAGGAAGCAUUGCUCCUUCCUGUCUGGGCAAACUUUUCUACCUGUUCAUGAUACCAAGUCCUUCCAUUUCCCUAGUGACCUAAUCAUUUCCCUCUACCAACCUCACUGUGAAAAACGUACAGGUAUUCUCCAUUGUGGAGGAGGAAAACAUCAGCCUUAACAGCCUCCUCUGGUUACUUUUCCAUUCGUUUCUCCACCCAACAUUUUAAGGUAAGCCUACCGUGAUGCCCCCCUACGGGGGCCGCUACCUCACUAUCAACAUAAGCAUCUUCUCGCAAUGAUGGAUCUCCCUAAGUAGUCCUGUCUUACUGUUGUUUAUGGAUAAUACUACUCAGUGUUAAUAUGUAUUUCCUCCUCUUGUGCAAAUGUGUUGGCUCUUUGUGAUUUGGAUGUAGUCUCCGCUAGAAACUAGCUGGAAUCCAAGAGUUGACAAACUACAGCCCUUCGGCAAAGCUGGCCCUCCACCUGUUUUUGUAAAGUUUUAUUGGAACACGACCAUGCCCAUUCAUUUCUGUAUUGUUCAGGACUGCUUUUUUUUGCAACAGCAGGCAGAGUUGCUUAGCUGUACAAAGACCACAGAUUCUCAGAAGCCUAAAACAUUUACUAUAUAGCGCUUUACAGAUAAGGCUUGCAACCUCGGAGUUAAAUUUUCUCAUAAUUAAUAUUCUAGGCUCUACGUGGUCUUUGGUUCUCUUUACCUGUGGUAAAUUAAUACCAGACUUUAGGGAGGCCGCAUCUUGUUCUAAGAAGAAUCCUUGGUUCAAAAGUUGGCAGAAUCCUGAUACAAAGAGGGACAUUCAUACUUCGAUUGUUUUGUGCUGCAAACUAGGGCACCUACUGUGCCCAUAAAGAUCCAAUUAUGGAAAAAGAGGACUAAAGCCACACACUCUUUACUUCCUCAGGAAUUGUUUUCCUUUCUUUCUGGUAACAACCCUAAGUUCUUGUUGUAAGCUAGAGACUGUGCUUACACAUGAUUGACUCAGAAAGCUGUUAUCUCUUUCCUUGACCAGAGGUUGUUCUGGUGAAGGCAGCGUGCUUCAUCGGAAAGGAAUCUUGAACACAAAUGUUCACAGUUGAUAAGAGUUAGGUGGGUAACACUGAAGUAAUUAAUAACACCACUUAAAAUACAUAUUAAAAGUGUUUGUGGGCGCCUGGGUGACUCAAUCGGUUAAACGUCCAUUCUUGACUUCACUCAGGUCAUGAUCUCACAGUCAUGAGAUCCAG